rnacentral:rRNA from 1 species
AUGUGGUGGCCGUCGUCGCUGCUGUACCCGCCGCCGGCGUCGGCCUUCGUGACGGCCAUGUCGGUGGUGUCGUUCGCGUCGCUGGCGUCCGCGGGCCUCUCGGAGCUCCGCGGCCAGCACAUGGCCUACUCCAAGUUCUGGCACGUCGUGUCUGGACAGCAGCAGAAGAAGGGAGGCACCGGUGGCGCGCAGCUUCCGGGCCGUGACGGGAUGCUGGUGGCCUACGCGCCGGCUCUAGUCGCCGCCGCCGCGUCCUUCGUCGUCCCGGGUGCCGUGGAAGGGCUGCGCGCGGAGCUCCUCGCCGCCGCGCUCGCCGUCCACUUCCUCAAGCGUGUCCUCGAGGUACUCUUCAUCCACCGGUACAGUGGAAACAUGCCACUCAACACCGCGCUCACCAUCUCCUCCAGCUACCUGCUCAGCGCCAUCACCAUGAUCUACGCGCAGCACCUCGCCGUCGAACUACCUGACCCUUCAACCAACCUCCUCUACCCAGGUGUGCUCCUCUUUGCCGUUGGCAUCGCCGGCAACUUCUACCACCACUACCUCCUCUCGCAACUCAGGAAGGGAGGUGACGAUGAUAAAGGGUACAAGAUCCCCAAAGGAGGGCUCUUCGAGUUCGUCACCUGCCCGCACUACCUCUUCGAGAUCACCGGAUUCUUCGGGUUCGCGAUGAUCUCGCAGACGGUUUAUGCGCUCGCCAUGGCCUCCGGCACGGCAGCCUACCUCGUCGGCCGAAGCUUCGCCACCCGGAGAUGGUACGAAUCCAAGUUCGAGGAGUUCCCAGCGAGCAUCAAGGCUCUGGUGCCCUAUAUCUUGUAG